UACAGAGGGUGCAAGCGUUGUUCGGAAUCAUUGGGCGUAAAGCGCGAGUAGGCGGCUUCUUAAGUCUGAUGUGAAAGCCCGGGGCUUAACCCCGGAAGUGCAUUGGAUACUGGGAAGCUAGAGGGUGUAAGAGGAGAGUGGAAUUCAUGGUGUAGGGGUGAAAUCCGUAGAUAUCAUGAGGAACAUCAGUGGCGAAGGCGGCUCUCUGGUACACUUCUGACGCUCAGACGCGAAAGCAUGGGGAGCAAAC
rnacentral:rRNA from 1 species